CUUGAGGAGCCCCUUGGGAAAACCGCUGGGAAUCUCUUUGCAUGACCUGUACAGGUCAUAGACCUGCUGGGUCACGGGCGUGCUGAAGCCUAUCCCAGCUAUCUCCGGGCGAGAGGCAGGGUACACCCUGAACUGGUCGCCAGCCAAUCGCAGGACACAUAAACAAACAACCAUUCGCACUCACAUUCAUACCUAAGGGCAAUUUAGAGUCUUCAAUUAACCUACCCUGCAUGUUUUUGGGAUGUGGGAGGAAACCCGAGUACCCGGAGAAAACCCACGCAGGCACGGGGAGAACAUGCAAACUCCACACAGGCAAGGCUCUAUUUGAACCCCGGUCCUCAGAACUGUGAGGCAGAUGUGCUAACCAGUCGAACACCGUGCCGCCCUUGAAUCUCAUUUUGAUAUAUUAAAUAUGACUCAUGAAAUAUGUA